rnacentral:hammerhead_ribozyme from 1 species
AUCCAGCUGACCAGUCAUAAAAAGAACGAAACGCGCGUUCUGGAU